GACGAACGCUGGCGGCGUGCCUAAUACAUGCAAGUUGAGCGCUGAAGGUUGGUACUUGUACCAACUGGAUGAGCAGCGAACGGGUGAGUAACGCGUGGGGAAUCUGCCUUUGAGCGGGGGACAACAUUUGGAAACGAAUGCUAAUACCGCAUAAAAACUUUAAACACAAGUUUUAAGUUUGAAAGAUGCAAUUGCAUCACUCAAAGAUGAUCCCGCGUUGUAUUAGCUAGUUGGUGAGGUAAAGGCUCACCAAGGCGAUGAUACAUAGCCGACCUGAGAGGGUGGUCGGGCAAAUUGGGACUGAGACACGGCCCAAACUCCUACGGGAGGCAGCAGUAGGGAAUCUUCGGCAAUGGACGAAAGUCUGACCGAGCAACGCCGCGUGAGUGGAGGAGGUUUUCGGAUCGUAAAACUCUGUUGGUAGGGAAGAACGUUGGUGAGGGUGGAAAGCUCAUCAAGUGACGGUAACUACCCAGAAAGGGACGGCUAACUACGUG
rnacentral:rRNA from 1 species